AACGAACGCUGGCGGCAUGCCUAACACAUGCAAGUCGAACGAGACCUUCGGGUCUGGUGGCGCACGGGUGCGUAACGCGUGGUAACCUGCCCUUAGGUUCGGAAUAACUCCCCGAAAGGGGUGCUAAUACCGGAUAAUGUCUUCGGACCAAAGAGUUAUCGACUUUGGAUGGGCCCGCGUUGGAUUAGCUAGUUGGUAGUGUAAAAGCCUACCAAGGCGACGAUCCAUAGCUGGGCUGAGAGGAUGAGCAGCGACACUGGGGCUGAGACACGGCGGAGACUCCUACGGGAGGCAGCAGUGGGGAAUAUUGGAAAAUGGGCGGAAGGCUGAUCCAGCAAUGCCGCGUGAGUGAUGAAGGCAGUAGGGUUGUAAAGCUCUUUUAUCCGGGAUGAUAAUGACAGUACCGGGAGAAUAAGCACCGGCUAACUCCGUG
rnacentral:rRNA from 1 species